UACGUAGGGGGCAAGCGUUGUCCGGAAUUAUUGGGCGUAAAGAGCGCGUAGGCGGUUUGUCGCGUCUGCCGUGAAAGUCCGGGGCUCAACUCCGGAUCUGCGGUGGGUACGGGCAGACUAGAGUGAUGUAGGGGAGACUGGAAUUUACGGUGUAGCAGUGAAAUGCGUAGAUAUCGUAAGGAACGCCAGUGGCGAAAGCGAGUCUCUGGGCAGCAUCUGACACUGAGGCACGAAGGCCAGGGGAGCAAACGGG
rnacentral:rRNA from 1 species